AAUUGACGGGCCCCGCACAAGCAGCGGAGCGUGUGGUUUAAUUCGAUGUUACACGAAGAACCUUUACCAGGGUUUGACAUGCAAGUGGUAGGAAGCCGAAAGGUGACCGACCCUUCGGGGAGCUUGCACAGGUGCUGCAUGGCUGUCGUCAGCUCGUGUCGUGAGAUGUUCGGUUAAGUCCGCUAACGAGCGCAACCCUCGCUGUGUGUUAUAUGUGUCACACGGGACUGCCGGUCUUAAGCCGGAGGAAGGUGGGGAUGAUGUCAAGUCAGCAUGGCCUGUAUAUCCUGGGCUACACACACGCUACAAUGGCCAACACAAUAGGUUGCUAAGCCGCGAGGUGGCGCCAAUCCAUAAAGUUGGUCUCAGUUCAGAUUGUAGGCUGCAACCCGCCUGCAUGAAGAUGGAGUUGCUAGUAACCGCAGGUCAGCUAUACUGCGGUGAAUACGUUCCCGGGGCUU
rnacentral:rRNA from 1 species